GAGGCAUUUCUUUCUUUAUACCUCUGCCAAACUUGGUGGCGGCACCACCUCCAAGUUUGGCAGACCUAAUAAUGGCGCUUCCCGAUCUUUCCAACCCUUUUGGCCUAUAUAUGCUUAAGGUGUAUAUAUAUAUAUAUAUAUAUAUAUAUAUAUAUAUAUAUAUAUAUAUAUAUAUGUAUAUGUGGCACACAGGGUGAAGCCAGGCAAAACAAGAAAUCACCUCAAAGUAAUCAAAGAGACAAGAGCAAAUAUAUAUAUAUAUUAUAUAUUAUUCUGGUGUAGUAUUAGGUUUUACUGAUUCAAAACGAUUACGACAACUGUUUGGAUUCUUGGAUCUGCCAUUGAUUGUAACAUUCAGGUAAUAUAUUAUUCAUUAUUAGUUA